AGUAUAUUUGAUGAAAGAGUAAAAUAGGAUACUCCAUAUUUAAGAUGCUAAAAUAUAUUGUGGUUGCACAUCUUACAAUAUGCAUAUGGUUUCAUGCACCGUUACUGAUUUCAUUAAUUGUUGAAUCAUUAUUAUGAAUUUAGAACCAAUGCCCAAAUAGCAUGUGAUGAACAUAAAACAGCUGGCAUUUGUAGGCAGACGUCUUUUCUUUUAUCAUAUUUAUGAUCAAUCUUGAACCUUAAUUAUAAUCUGAAUCUCACAUGCAAAUGCUUAUGCCUUCCUGUAGUCUUUACAUAGUUUUGUCCUAGGGGAGUAGUUGUUGUUGUAUUAUUGUGUUCAAUUUUGAAGUUCUACACCCCGGUCUUUUGGCUGAAAAUAUCUUCUAAAAGUUGAUCUAAAUUUUAUGACUUCAGUCGCAUAGAUAUUCAGUGAAUGAUAUUGACUUUGAGAGGCUUGAUGCUGCCCCUUAGCCCCCGUUUGGCCCCCUAUCAAUUUCCAUUCCAUUACAUUCUAUUUUUCUCUCUCCUAUUUUCAACCACACAAUCUUCCAUAAAAUAAUAUUACACGUAAAGCAGACUUCUUUUCUUUUAUCAUAUUUAUGAUCAAUCUUGAACCUUAAUUAUAAUCUGAAUCUCACAUGCAAAUGCUUAUGCCUUCCUGUAGUCUUUACAUAGUUUUGUCCUAGGGGAGUAGUUGUUGUUGUAUUAUUGUGUUCAAUUUUGAAGUUCUACACCCCGGUCUUUUGGCUGAAAAUAUCUUCUAAAAGUUGAUCUAAAUUUUAUGACUUCAGUCGCAUAGAUAUUCAGUGAAUGAUAUUGACUUUGAGAGGCUUGAUGCUGCCCCUUAGCCCCCGUUUGGCCCCCUAUCAAUUUCCAUUCCAUUACAUUCUAUUUUUC
rnacentral:lncRNA from 1 species